rnacentral:piRNA from 1 species
UCACUGUGAUAAACUGGAGCCACCCCAAG